rnacentral:lncRNA from 1 species
GGCCUGAUAUUCGGUGGAGAGCCGCAGCUGCCCGCCGCGGGGCCCCAGGCGCAGCACGCUCUCGCGCGUGGGCCGCAGCUGGCAGCACAGGAAGUCCAGGUGGAAGAGCGGCGGCGUGGGCGGCCCGGCGCGGCGCGGCGAGUGCGGGCUGGUAUCGGCCGAGCUCGCUUUUUCUGGGGACAGAGAGUGAGGCCUGGACACCCGGCGCCGGCCCAGGCCUGGCCGCGGGGAGCCGAAGGGCGACGAGUCCGGCGACGAGGCCGUGUCGCUGUCGGGGGCCCGGCAGAGGCGCAGGUCCGGGGCGGAGACGUGCAGCCGGGACUGCGCCGCGGGGAGUCCCCCGGCCGGGGCAGGUGGCGGCCCGUGGAACAGGGAUUCCCGCCGGCGCGUGUGCGGGCUCUCGGGCAGGAAGGCCCAGCCUUCGCGGCCCGCCAGGGCCGAGAGGGUCCAAAUCCCGUCUCAGAUGGGAGUGCUCGGCGGAGCGGGGCUGGGCGAGGAGCGCAGAGGAGUCAGAGGCUAGUCAAGUGAAGCAAUGGGAGUGGAGAUGGAACAAAGAAAUCUGCAAUUGGUUGUGAUCAAUUAGUUGUAAACACUACUGCACUUGGACCAACCUCUUCCUUUUCCUGACUGCUUAGGAAGGAUGGAAUGUAUUUCCUUCCUUCUGGGAGUGUUUGAAUGAAGAUUAGACUCUCCUUGACCAUGAAUGAAGAGCAACCAGUUUUUUAGUAUACAGUGAUUUAGACUCUGGGUCUAGAGUGUAGAUAUCAUGGGCACUGUGAAAGCACAGAAGGAGAAAAGGUUUUUAUUUUGGUGGGGCUUUGUGUCUGAAUUCUGGCCAAUGGAACCACGUGGAGGCCUGGCCCAGAACAUCUCCCUGUGGAUUCUCUCAUCUGGCAACUGGAUGCCUACACGAAGGGUGAUUUUGGAGUCAUGUGUUGGAGAUCACAAAGCUUUUGUCAGCCAGGUUCCUGAAUGACUGCUAGACACCAUGGGCUGAACUUUAUGAGCUCCAGCACCACCUCCAGCCUUCAGUGACUGUCUGGAGCAGGCAUCCGGAUGGAAGAGAAGGGGGACAACCAUGAACUUGGUGACCCACGGUCAGCCUGAUUUCCCUUGUGGACACAUUUAUGCCCAGUGUGCAUUCCUCCUGAGGUCUGUUCCAAGUCUGGAGGCAGCAGAGUAGAGUGGAGAGAACAGUGGACUUGGAAUCUCACCUCCCAGAUUAGAGUCCUGGAUCUGACUUUGAUUGCUGGUGCUGCCUCGGGCAAGUUACUUUAGCUGUGUGCAUCUCCAUUUCCCCAUGGAUAGAACAUGGGUUUUGGGUAGAAGUGUCUGAUAGCUGUACUGUGCUUUACGGUUCAUGAGCACGCACACAUAGGCCCAUAAUAUCAUAUCUCUGGUCACCCUGGCAGGUAGAUAUUAUUGCCCCAGGUUUCAGGUAAGAAGACUAAAGACCAGGGGUCAAUUGCUUGCUCAGAGUCCCACAGCCAGCAGCAGCCAGGCAGGACACCAAGUCAGAGUCUAGAUUCCGGAUCUUGCCCUCUUCCAAGUGUACCACAUUCUUCUCAAAGUGGCCUCUCAGGUCUUUUGUCCAGAAAAUUUUGAGACUUUGAUGAGAAGCCCAUAUCUGCACACUGGGGAUUAGGCCAGAUAACCCUGUGUGUCCUUCCAGGCCUGGUAUUGUGAGGCUGAAGCCUAGUGCCCCACACUCCCUUCCUCACCCCUUAGAGAAAGAUAGAGACUCCAGGGCCAGCCUGGUGGGUGCUGAACCUGCCCUGCUGAGCCAAGCCCAGGAGGCAGCCAAGGUCCUACCAGUGACCUUACCCUGGGGGCCCCUCCAGGUAGGAGCCUGGUUGGAAAAGACAGACCGACUUCUUCUGGGUUGGCUGGAAAAAGAUGACAUACUCAAAGCCUUGUCCUUCCACUUGGAUGCACCUGGUGAAGAUGCGACAGUCACCUUUGUCUGGGGAGAGAUAGGCAGUGUUGCAGCCGGAGAAGGGAGGGUAUGGUCAGGAUGCAGCACCAUUUGGUUGAGUCUUGCCUCUGGUACAAGAUUAAGGAGAGAAAACCAGAGGACACCAGGUCCACCCCCAGGGAGCCUUCCCUCUGGGAGCAGAGGCACAGUUGCUGUCCUCACAGAGCCUUUCUGUCUAGGGCAGAAACAUGCAGGAAGUGCCCUGGCUGAGAAUGGAGAUAGGAUCAGGGCCAGGGCAAGACUUUAAGAGACCAUAAGCAUUGAAAAUUGAAAAUGUAAUUACUCAUGUAACUCACAUAUAAUUCAAAAGAAUAAUAGUAAACAGUAAAAUAAGAGCAGAAAAGUCCAUCAAAGUUCUGAUUUUUUUUUUCCAAGACAGCUACCACUACUACAUCCUUUUUUGGAAGUAUCAAAUUCUUUGAAAAAAAAUUAUGUUGGUAUUCCUGCUUUGUUUGUGCCAUAAACCCAAGGGUAGUCUGUCCCCUGUACCACUCCUUCAUCACUAGGCAGGAAGACAACAUAUAUGAGUGAGAGAGACAGGGAGAUACACAUGCGUGCACACACGAGUGCACACACACACACAAGAAGGUGGAAGCUCUAUCAUUAGGAUCCAUUAGGAUCAUUAGGUGUUUCAGGAGUGCUGCUCCAGACCCCGCACAGCAGGGAUGAUGUGCAGGGCCUCAGUGGAAGGGGUGUGGGGUCCAAGGGCUUUCAUGGGGUUGGGGCGGAAGGCUUGGGAUGAGGCUUGAUAGUUAGGGAGGGGCAGUCAGUGAGAAGUCGGGGCAGGAGCUGGGCUGGCUGUCCUCCAGUGGGGACAUGCUUGGCUGGGAGCGAAGGUGGGCCCACCAGGGUGUGCUGCUUCAGAUGGGAGGAGGGGAGCUGGAGACCUGAGAGGACACCCGCCGCCUGUUGCCUGGGGCUGCAGCAUCAGGGGUGGAGUUGGACAGCAGGAAGAACUCGCUGAGAACUGGAAGGCGGUCUGUGAAGUUGCUUCUCAGUCUUAGAACACAGGGAAGGGCGGCUGGGGUGUGUGUACUCAUGGUCCUGUCCUUACCUGAGGAAACUGCCAGUCCAGAUGGGAGCUUGAGUCCCCGGAUGUGGUCUCUGUUGGACUUGAAGGAGGGCAGCUUGAUCCAGCCGCUAGACUUAGUCUUCUCCAGAAAUUCUUGGUACAGGCUCAGCAUGUCCGAACACCAGCUGGCAUUGGGAAGAGCAUAAUCCUUCAAGUCUGUCUUCUCUGGCAAGAAUCUUGAGAACUGGGCAGGAAAAAUCAGAAUGACUAGACAGCAUCCUGGAGGGGGGCUGCUGCCUGGGCUCGGGACCUCUAAACAGCUGUUCCUGGGUGCUGGGGCUUCUCAAUCCCUUCUGCCAGAGUAUCGAUCCAAGGGAAAGGGCCCAUAUUCCUUGCAGGGGGGCUGCGGACCCCUAUGGGUGACGGGGCAUAAGGAUGCUAAAGAGCAAGGGAAGGGCGGGCAGGGAGUGGGGCCAGAGAUGAUGGGCAUGCUGCUCGAUGUGGUGCCUUACCCUUGUUCUGCUUAAAACAUGUGAGCAGUUCUUUAAAGUUGACAACUGCUCAUAUUAGCCUCACUGUACAGAUGGGGAAACUGAGGGAAUACGGCCAAGGUUGCCAAGCAUGUGACUGUGAGAGCUGGUGGUCGCACUAGAUGCUGUCUCCUCUGCAGGGCAGGGUCACAGUUGUUGAGGACCAUUCUAGCAACCCCCACCUCAGGGGCUACUCCAGCUCUGCCCACUGCUGUGGGCCUGCCUGGGCAGGGUGGCUCCUUUGAAACACAUUUGGGCCCCCACAGAGGUGUGGUGCCAUGGCUGGGGCACAGACUAUGUGCCCAUCUGUGUGACGUAAGGAAGUCCUCUGUAGCGUCACCUGCUCAUACACCAGUCACAACUGUAGACAGCAUGUGAGCUGCUUGCCAAUGCCACAGAUGGGGUCCUCUGUCUGGGGAUACCCCAGCUUUGCUGCAGUAGUCUGAGUCCCACAGGAGGAAAGUCAUUUGUUGGUGGCCACACAAGACACAGAGCCAGAUGCAGGUCUCCUGGUAGUUUUAGUUUUGAAUGGGGGCAACUUGGUAUCCCAGAGCACUUUCUCUUUGCCAAAUCAAAUAGCUCCUCCGAACACUGCCCACCUGCCCUGGCCAUGGGCUGGGAAGAGGAGAUUUGGGGUGCUCCUUAAGCCCUAGGCUCCUGGGAAAACACUGCCCAUCUGGCUGAGCUGGGAACUCACCAUGGAGUCUGUGGAGGAUCCAAAUGCUGAGGCAGGGUUGAGUCUGGGCAGGAUACGGGGGGCCUCAAGAAGGCCUCUGUGGUGGCCAAGUCUUGCUGCCACCUGGAAGCAUCUCCUUAUCAUGGCCAAGUGCAAGGAUCCAGCCCUGCUUGGAUGGAGGGUCUUGGCUGACUCCCAAGGAGUGCUUUCAGCUGCACUUGGGGCCGCUUCUCUCCCUUCUGUUGCAGGCUUUCUUUCAGAGAGCUAGGCGAGGCUGGGCUGGUGUGCUGCAACACCCACAGAUGCUCGGCGCCUUUAGCUGGUCUAGGAGCCCCACCCAGUGCUUGGGGAGGGACAGAUGCUGCUUGGGCAUGAAAAGGCAGCAGGACUGGCUUGAGUUGCAAAAGGAGUAAACAAGUACAUAAACAAAUAGUAUGGGGUAUAUAGAGCCUUGGAGAGCUGCCUGGGGGUUCUGAGGGAGAAUCCAAGAAUAUUUCCAGAAGGAUAAGGGAAGCCUGUCCCUUGAUUGGAGGGUGCUGGUGGAGUGUUCUUGGUAUGUGCUCUGCAGUGUAUACCGGACUCUGAAAACUCUGGUAUGAUUUUGUGACUCAGAAAACCAACUCACAGGCCGGGUGCGGUGGCUCACGCCUGUAAUCCCAGCACUUUGGGAGGCCGAGGCGGCGGAUUACGAGGUUAGGAGAUCGAGACCAUCCUGGCUAACACGGUGAAACCCCGUCUCUACUAAAAAAAAUACAAAAAAUUAGCCGGGCGUGGUGGCGGGUGCCGGUAGUCCCAGCUACGCAGGGGGCUGAGGCAGGAGAAUGGCGUGAACCUGGGAGGUGGAGCUUGCAGUGAGCUGAGAUCUAGCCACCGCACUCCAGCCUGGGCGACUGAGCGAGACUCCGUCUCAAAAAAAUAAAAAUAAAAAAAUAAAAAAAAAGAAAACCAACUCACAGCCUUAGACACCUCUUUUUUUUUUUUUUUUUUUUUUUUGGUGAGACGGAGUUUCAAUCUUGUCGCCCAGGCUGGUGUGCAAUGGCGUGAUCUCGGCUCACUGCAACCUCCGCCUCCUGGGUUCAAGUGAUUCUCCUGCCUCAGCCUCCUGAGUAGCUGGGAUUACAGACACACACCACCACACCCAGCUAAAUUUUGUAUAUUUUUUUUAGUAGAGAUGGGGUUUUGCCAUGUUAGCCAGGCUGGUCUUGAACUCCUGACCUCAGGUGACCUCCCAAAGUGCUGGGAUUACAGGCGUGAGCCACCGCACCCGGCCAACACCUCUUCUUAUAUCCCGGACAAGGGUUAGCACAGGAGAGUUUCACCUGCUGGUCUCUGGCUGGGGAUAGGAGUUGGAGGUGGGGGAGGGCUUGACAGGGAGGGCAGAAAAUAAUUUGGGAGGAAACAGCUUGGCAGGGAUACUCUCAUGUUUUGGGAACCCCGUGCCCAGGGAGUGGCUCAUGUCAGCAGGCAGUGCUGGGAGUGAGGUGGGCGCGGCAGUGAGGCUUUGUUGAGUGGGAAGGGACACUCAGCCAACAUCUGCAAGGCAGUGGGAUUUGGUGGUGGUGUGUCUUCUAUUGAAUUUAAACUGCCAAUUUUCAAUUAAAAGUCUCAGUUUUAAAUUGACUAAAAUAAAAGCAUGUUCUAAAGAUCAGUCCUCGCGCAGUGGCUCAAGGCUGUAAUCUCAGCAUUUUGGGAGGCCGAGUGAGACCUUGUCUUAAAAAAAAAAAAAUCAGAACUGUGCAAAGGUGGAAUCAUAACAGUGAUGAUGACGAUAAUAAUAGUUGUGAUGAUUAUGACAUUUUGGCAGGUUCCAAAAGAUGAAACUGAUUUAAUGCGGAAAUUUAAAAGAUUUGGUUCACCCUCUGUAUUUGGUUGCCCUAGAAGAAGACUAGAAUAUAAAUAUUUCCCCUCACCUCCUGCAAAGGUUUGAAUUAAACUUCCUCAAGGACUGGGGGAACCAUUUUUUUUUGUUGUUGUUAUUUUGUCAGAGUCUCACUCUUAUUGCCCAGGAGUGCAGUGGCACCAUCUCGGCUCACUGCAACCUCUGCCUCCCAGGCUCAAGCAAUUCUCCUGCCUCAGCCUCCCAAGUAGCUGGGAUUACAGGCGCUUGCUACUACGCCCGGCUAGUUUUUAUAUUUUUAGUAGAGACGGGGUUUCAUCAUGUUGGCCAGGCUGGUCUCAAACUCCUGGCCUUGGCUGAUCUGCCUGCCUCAGCGUCCCAAAGUGCUGGGAUUACAGGCAUGAGGCACCACGCCCAGCUGGAAGUUUUUUUGGUUGAUUCAGCCUCUGGGUCUAAGCAAAGAUAUUUGAGUUGGUUGCCAUCCCCAGAUAAGUGAGAAUAUCUGGCAGCACUCAUUUUCAGCCCUGGGCCGCAGCCGUUGCUGUGAGGCAGAAAUUAAAAAAAGAUAGUAAGUACUACAUUCAUUCACUCCAAGAAAAGUAACAGACAAGGCUAUAAGAAGGUCAUAGUGACCUAGUCUGAGAAGUAAAAGCCAAGGCCCAGAAUGUGGCAAGGCAAAGGUUAAAAAGAAAGGAAGAGCAAGUUUUUCUCUGCCUAGCAAGCUCACUUCAAAGACAAUUAUAAGAUAAUGCUCUUCGAGAAGUCGAAACCAAAGGAAUAGGCUCCAGACAUCCCCCGUCUGGAGCAAGGGUGAAGGAAAAAAAAAAAAGGACAAAUGUCUGUCUGUAUUUAGCCAGUUCUUGUUUUUUCUUUCCACGCAGCUACAAGGCCACCAGCUAUGCAAAGCCACAAGUUAUGCCAAGUCAUCAGUUAUGCUAUAGAUUAUGUGACCUGUCAUUAUAUGAUUAACUGCCUGUUUUGCUUCUGUAAGCCUGCUUAUAAAAAUCCUGCUCAGUCUUUGUUCAAUGCUCAGCUUUUUGGAUGUGAAUCCACUGAGCCAAUGCCUACCUUAAAAUAAACAUCGUCCUGUUUUUCCAUAUCUGUC